rnacentral:lncRNA from 1 species
GAGGUACUGAGAAGGGUUGGAGUUUCCAACUGUCAGAGUCUCUGGAAGCUGAGCUUGGCUCUGGAGGCUGGUGGUUGUUGGCUCUCUGGGAUUUCCCUUUCAAACCUUGGGAAUACCAGACUGGCACUUUGGAAGAGAGAAAUUCAUUCCAUUGUUAAUGAUGAUGUCACUAUUGAAGUUUGA